GAGAGCGAGACUCAGAGUCAGGUGGUGUCUUUACGGGGGGAUCUGACCUGGUUUUCCUGCUGCUAAUUGAAUCUUAUCUUUAACAUCAAGGUCUCGAUUGGACAGGUAGAUGUAAAUGUCCACAAUACAGUAUGGCGUGCAGUGGUGAAUAAAAGCGGUCUGCCAUUGCUAAAAAGCACACAGGUCUUCAAUACACACCAUCUACCUAGCAGUACAGAAGAUGAGUAAGGAUAAAGACAAUAACAUGUUGUGGCAGGGAGAGAAAAGAAAGAGAAUUAACUUCACUCAGAGAUGGAGAAAGAUAAGAAAAACAGGACAAGAGAGGAACAACAGAGGUUAGAUUUAAA